GGGUACCAAAUACCACAGAAACAGUUCUGAGAAGAGUUACAAGGAAAGUUGAAAGAAAAUAGAAAGAGAGCUACGCUUAAUCCAUUGUUUUUUCAAAUAUUGUUUAUUAAGGGCCCCUCCAUAAUAGUGGCCUUGGCAACUUUCAAAGGACAAGAAGUAAAACAGUGGGUGUAGCAGAGUGACAUUAAUCUGCCAUGAUUGAGAUAUCAGUUUGGUUAGCAGGCACAAAGCAACCUUAAGCAAAAGGGCAAAGCAGCUUGAGAAAUGUUGGCUGUUAGUGCUUGGUAACAACCCGAUGGAGAAGCCCUGAAGUGGUUCAAAUCACAGACUGCCUGCUAAGUGGUCUUUGGGGAGCCUGCUCUGCAUCUAAUCCCAACGAGAGAAAUAUGAGAGGCAGCAGACUGGAGAUCAAUGUAGGUGCCUUGCUGGGGAUAUUAACUACCCCACCUUCACUUCUGGCUCCUGCAGCAUGACAACUCUAUUCCCAGAGGGCCAGAGGAUUCUGCUGGGGUCUGUAGCAAAGUCUGUUGAAAGCAGGAGAAUUGACAUUUUGCUGAUUGUCUUGACUGCUUUGACAUCUCACAAACAGUACAAAUGAUCACUUAUGUAAAGGUUAUUUGAAUAAAGGUAAGAUCCCUUGGUGUGACUUAACUGUAAAACCAUUCCAGUUCCCUUUAGAUGUCCCUCUGAGAUUUCUAGUCUCCUAAAAUGUGCAUGUACUUCUAAUUUGCCUGUAGCAUAGGAGAAGGCUGGAAUCUGAAAUCUGCAGAGUAGACUGGGCUUGCACAAUACACUGAAACUAGGCUUAUUCAAAAAGGCUCUUCCAGGGCUUUAAAGAAGACAUGAAAAAAUAUCUGAACCAUUAGUGUCUCAGGGAGCUGAGGUGGAGGCAGCCAGGGAGAUGCUGAAAUGGGUGCUCCUGCUGACAGAGUUACAGGGAAA